AUGAACGCUGGCGGCGUGCCUCAUCCCUGCCAGUCGAGCGAACGGACGAGAAGCUUGCUUCUCUGAUGUUAGCGGCGGACGGGUGAGUAACACGUGGAUAACCUACCUAUAAGACUGGGAUAACUUCGGGAAACCGGAGCUAAUACCGGAUAAUAUUUUGAACCGCAUGGUUCAAAAGUAAAAGACGGUCUUGCUGUCACUUAUAGAUGGAUCCGCGCUGCAUUAGCUAGUUGGUAAGGUAACGGCUUACCAAGGCAACGAUGCAUAGCCGACCUGAGAGGGUGAUCGGCCACACUGGAACUGAGACACGGUCCAGACUCCUACGGGAGGCAGCAGUAGGGAAUCUUCCGCAAUGGGCGAAAGCCUGACGGAGCAACGCCGCGUGAGUGAUGAAGGUCUUCGGAUCGUAAAACUCUGUUAUUAGGGAAGAACAUAUGUGUAAGUAACUGUGCACAUCUUGACGGUACCUAAUCAGAAAGCCACGGCUAACUACGUG
rnacentral:rRNA from 1 species